rnacentral:rRNA from 1 species
GGCUCGCAGGCGGUUUCUUAAGUCUGAUGUGAAAGCCCCCGGCUCAACCGGGGAGGGUCAUUGGAAACUGGGAAACUUGAGUGCAGAAGAGGAGAGUGGAAUUCCACGUGUAGCGGUGAAAUGCGUAGAGAUGUGGAGGAACACCAGUGGCGAAGGCGACUCUCUGGUCUGUAACUGACGCUGAGGAGCGAAAGCGUGGGGAGCGAACAGGAUUAGAUACCCUGGUAGUCCACGCCGUAAACGAUGGAUGGCUAAGUGUUAGGGGGUUUCCGCCCCUUAGUGCUGCAGCUAACGCAUUAAGCACUCCGCCUGGGGAGUACGGUCGCAAGACUGAAACUCACAGGAAUUGACGGGGGCCCGCACAAGCGGUGGAGCAUGUGGUUGAAUUCGAAGCAACGCGAAGAACCUUACCAGGUCUUGACAUCCUCUGACUACCCUAGAGAUCGGGCUUUC